AACGAACGCUGGCGGCAGGCUUAACACAUGCAAGUCGAACGCCCCGCAAGGGGAGUGGCCGACGGGUGAGUAACGCGUGGGAACAUACCCUUUCCUGCGGAAUAGCUCCGGGAAACUGGAAUUAAUACCGCAUACGCCCUACGGGGGAAAGAUUUAUCGGGGAAGGAUUGGCCCGCGUUGGAUUAGCUAGUUGGUGGGGUAAAGGCCUACCAAGGCGACGAUCCAUAGCUGGUCUGCGAGGAUGAUCAGCCACAUUGGGACUGAGACACGGCCCAAACUCCUACGGGAGGCAGCAGUGGGGAAUAUUGGACAAUGGGCGCAAGCCUGAUCCAGCCAUGCCGCGUGAGUGAUGAAGGCCUUAGGGUUGUAAAGCUCUUUCACCGAUGAAGAUAAUGACGGUAGUCUGAGAAGAAGCCCCGGCUAACUUCGUG
rnacentral:rRNA from 1 species